GGGAAUGGAUAAACAAGAUUGGGAAUGGUUGGUUAAAGAAUAUUUUUUAAGUGAAAGUUUUCAGAAAAUGAGUAAAACAAAUACACAGAAUAGAUCCUUGAAAUCUAUGCCACAUCGAACAGGAAGCAAGCCUUUUAGGCAAUUGGCAUAUGAAAUGGGAGGAAAAGAUGGAC